rnacentral:rRNA from 1 species
CACGCAGGCGGUUUGUUAAGUCAGAUGUGAAAUCCCCGGGCUCAACCUGGGAACUGCAUCUGAUACUGGCAAGCUUGAGUCUCGUAGAGGGGGGUAGGAAUUCCAGGUGUAGCGGUGAAAUGCGUAGAGAUCUGGAGGAAUACCGGUGGCGAAGGCGGCCCCCUCGGACGAAGACUGACGCUCAGGUGCGAAAGCGUGGGAGCAAACA